GAUGAACGCUGGCGGCGUGCCUAAUACAUGCAAGUCGAGCGAACGAACGAGAAGCUUGCUUCUCUGAUGUUAGCGGCGGACGGGUGAGUAACACGUGGAUAACCUACCUAUAAGACUGGGAUAACUUCGGGAAACCGGAGCUAAUACCGGAUAAUAUUUUGAACCGCAUGGUUCAAAAGUGAAAGACGGUCUUGCUUUCACUUAUAGAUGGAUCCGGGCUGCAUUGGCAAGUUGUGAAGGAAACGGCUUACCAAGGCAACGAUGCAUAGCCGACCUAAAGGGGUGACUGCCCACCCUGGAACUGAGACACGGCCCAGACUCUUACGGGAGGAAGCAGUAGGGAAUCUUGCGCAAUGGGCGAAGGCCUGACGGGGCAACGCGGCGUGAGUGAUGAAGGUCUUCGGAUCGUAAAACUCUGUUAUUAGGGAAGAACAUAUGUGUAAGUAACUGUGCACAUCUUGACGGUACCUAAUCAGAAAGCCACGGCUAACUACGUG
rnacentral:rRNA from 1 species